UUUGUUAAAAAUGUUUUUAAGAAAAUUUAUUGGUAAAAAUAAGAAAGGAAAACAAAAUAUAAUACAACAGUAUACAUAAGUAUUUGGUCCUCAAGACCAGACUGACAACAUAUCAUUUACAAUUUAAAACAUAUCGAGCUUCAUUUAAUUGUAGAACUAACUUUAACAUGUUUAAUUAAAUGUAUUCAACAACAAACAAGAGCAAAUCAAUCAUUGGAGACAUACUUACCAAGUCCUGAAACAAAUCUGAAAAAUAUACUGAGAAGAAACAAGACGAUGUUUCCAGAAAACAUUUACAGAUACAUUAGAAAAGUGGUGUAGGCAAAUCUAGAAGAGAGCUAACCAUCCCUUUGCUACAGCCCCCAUUUCUUUCCAGGCAUAAACUACAGUGACAUAGGAAACAAGGGACCAAUCAACACACUAAUACAGAUAUUAGAAUUAGCCUGGCCUAAGAAAAAUAUUGAGAGCCUUUAAAAUUGACUCAUUCAAGAACUCAAAGAUAACAUAUAAGCUAAGCAGCCCCUGUGGAAUGAAAAUCAUUGGUUAGUGCUGAGAGACAUUGUAUGUGAAGGUCAAAGUUCAACAAUCUGUGAUACUGUCUGCCAAAACCAAUUACUCAGCAGCUAUGAGGAAAAUUAUUUUUUAAAAUAAAAUAAUGAACUAUUUUGACAGAUUGUGUAGAUAUAAAAAAAAAAAAAAACAAAUGAUAAAAAAUUAGAGA